rnacentral:rRNA from 1 species
UACGUAGGGGCCUAGCGUUGUCCGGAAUUAUUGGGCGUAAAGAGCUCGUAGGCGGUUCGGCAAGUCGGAUGUGAAAUCUCCACGCUUAACGUGGAGGGGCCAUUCGAAACUGCUGUGACUCGAGUCCGGUAGGGGAGUGUGGAAUUCCCGGUGUAGCGGUGAAAUGCGCAGAUAUCGGGAGGAACACCAGUAGCGAAGGCGAGUUUCUGGACGGUAACUGACGCUGAGGCACGAAGGCCAGGGGAGCAAACGGGG